UCAUAUAUUUUUUUUAGUUUUAUCAUUCUCUUAUUUUAGAAGUUACAGGGGGGGGGGACACAUUUUACCACUUUGGAAGUGUCUCUCGCGCAAACUAUUCAGUUUAGAAAAAAAAUAUAUUAGAAACCUCAAUAUCAUUUUUGAAGACCUAUCCAUAGACACCCCACACGUAUGGGCCUGAUGAAAAAAAAAAUUUUUGAGCGAUUUAUGACGUAUUAAAAAAAAACUACUUACUAGAUCUCGUUCAAACCAAUUUUCGGUGGAAGUUUACACGGUAAUGUACACCAUAUUUUUUUUUUAGUUUUAUCAUUCUGUUAUUUUAGAAGUUACAGGGGGGGGGGACACA